GCUGUGGUGCGAGUGAGACGGGAGCUCUGUGUGCGCGUGUGUUUGGGUGAAAUUAAGAAAAAAAUAAAUAGAUAAAAACAUUCAUACGGAACUAAUUUCUCAAUUUGGAAUAGUGUUAGAUAUAUAAUGGUGAUUGCCAUGUCAGUAAAUUGCAAUAUCCAAAAUACAACUUCAUUUUGAUGGAUGUGCAAAUAAGUGUGUGUCUAUUUCUGCACGAAAGGAAAUACGUACAUGUCUGAUCUCUCGUGAACACCAGGACUAAAUUCUCAAUAAGUGCUGUAUACAUAAGAGUGCUUGGAAAUACAUAGAGAAUUAACACAUGGAUGACUAGUAAGUGAAAGAAGCUUUCUGAAGCCAUUGCUGGAUCAAAAAAGAGAGAGAAAAAAGAAAAUAAUAAAUAAAAAAAAAUAUAUAUAAUAGGCGACGUAGGCCUACCCAUUCCCAAAGGCCCAAGGUAGGAGCAACCAUCUUCCACGCCGCCUCGUCUGCCGUGGGCGUUUGGUCUUGUGGGACACGGGCGUGGGAGCACAUGGUGGUGCGGGCGUCCCCUUGAGAACCACUGAAGGCCCAGGCAUCUGCUCGCCAAGAUGCCCGCUCGCAGAGGCCUCCUGGCUCCCCAGAACACCUUUCUGGACACUAUCGCCACACGCUUCGAUGGCACACGUAAGUUAACUCGGCAGGAGAAGUUGCUGGCUGCAUGACGGAAGGCCCAAGUUAUCCUCACGUGAUUGGUGAUGUAGAGGCAAGGGCUGAAAACACUCCUGG